UUCAAGAAACGAAUGAAACAAAAACGAACACAUUGUGGAGUGCGAGCGACACAUCCAUUCUUUGUUCUUCAAGAAUCGAAUGAAACAAAAACAUCUAUGUGUGGAUGUUCAGUGGUUCGCUCAAUCAUCUUUAUUAUUUGCAACAUCAACAAACAACAUUCAGUUUUCUGCUUGAAAAAAGACAACCUAUGAGAUAUAAGGAUGCUUGCAAUGUGAUCAAUGGAGGAAACCAUAAUGAGGUUGUAUCUGAUAACAUUCAGUGGGUGUUGGCAUAAUUAAGCAUCAGUCAGAUAGCACUAGAUUUGUGUUGAUAAUUAUUAAUGAGUGUUCAGAUUCAGCAUGCUAAUAAGGUGGUUAACUCCCAAUGUUCAACGGUGAUUUGGAAACCAAAACCUCAUGGAACUGUUCUUGGAGGGAAGGUUGAUUCAGAUGCGGCUUCAUGCAAUCUUUUGAAAAUGAAAAGUCAUAUCAAGAGGUUACUCAGAACGUUUUGUGCUUCACUCUUUAGUAGAGGAGUGUUACGUUUGUUGAAGUUGUUCCCGGAUUGGAGGAUGAUUGAUUGGAUAUCCUGGGAGGCUACCCAGCCAAAGGUGCCCCCCAUUCCUGCCUCCAAGCGUUGAUUGGUUUGAGGCAGAUUCCAUGGACGAUUGGACUGCGCCUCACCUCAAUGGCUAGUCGGGGGGGUCUAUCGCGUUGAUGUGCACGUUACAUCAGACAGUGACUUUGCUAACUUGUGUGUUUCCGUUGUCUGUGCAGGGUUUAGUGGCUUUGCUAACUUGUCUAUGCGCGUUACCGACGCUGGUCAUAGUUUAAUUUUAUUGUCUAUGCCAGUGGGUGUUAGCCUUCCCUUGGUUUGGUUGGGUGUAGCAUUAACUUUGGAUUUUCAUUCAUAUGUCCCUGCUUCACACAUUUAAUAAAGUUGAGGAAGGACAAGGUCAGGAUGUGCAUCAGUACACCAAAGCUUAGUGGUGAUGAAAAUAUCGCCACGGUUCUUGAUAAGACCUUGGUUUUGUGCUUGUACUAUAGCUAGGCCAAGGGCUUCCUCAGAACCAUACAUA